rnacentral:rRNA from 1 species
UACGUAGGGUCCGAGCGUUGUCCGGAAUUACUGGGCGUAAAGAGCUCGUAGGUGGUUUGUCGCGUUGUUCGUGAAAACUCACAGCUCAACUGUGGGCGUGCGGGCGAUACGGGCAGACUAGAGUACUGCAGGGGAGACUGGAAUUCCUGGUGUAGCGGUGAAAUGCGUAGAUAUCGUAAGGAAGACCAGUGGCGAAGGCGGGUCUCUGGGCCGUAACUGACGCUGAGGAGCGAAAGCAUGGGGAGCGAACAGG